GUUAAAAAGCUCGUAGUUGUAUUUCUGCCUAAUGGCGCAUGUCCGCCCAAGCGGUGUGUACUUUGCGUUCAUCAGGCCCUUUCAGGGGGAUGCUACUGAACUUAAUUGGUUGGUAGCAGAAUCUUGACUUUUACUUAGAGGAAAUCAGAGUGUUCCAAGCAGGCAAUCGCCUUGUAUAGCUCAGCAUGGAAUAAUAGUAUAAGACCUCGUUUUUAUCUGUUGGUUGCUUUGGCGAGGUAAUGAUGAAGAGGGAUAGUUGGGGGCAUUCGUAUUGCAUUGUCAGAGGUGAAAUUCUUGGAUUUAUGCAAGACGGACUACUGCGAAAGCAUUCGCCAUGGAUGUUUUCAUUGAUCAAGAACGAAAGUUAGGGGAUCGAAGACGAUCAGAUACCGUCGUAGUCUUAACUAUAAACCAUGCCAGCUAGAGAUCGGAGGUUGUUUAUCUUUGACACCUUCAGCAUCUUAUGAGAAAUCAAAGCCUUUGGGUUCCGGGGGGAGUAUGGUCGCAAGGCUGAAACUUAAA
rnacentral:rRNA from 1 species